GUGCUCUAUUCAGCAGCACAUAUACUAAAAGUAAAACAAUACAGAGAUGAUGAUCGUGGCCCCUGCACAGGGCUGAUAGGCAAACUCACUCAUUCAAGGAAAGAGUU
rnacentral:snRNA from 1 species